UGGGAACCUGAGAUGUUGGAAAAGCUGGA
rnacentral:piRNA from 1 species